GUCCCAUAGUGACCCCAUAGGUGUCCCAUAGGUGUCCCAUAGUGACCCCAUAGGUGUCCCAUAGAGACUGCACAGAAGUCCCAUAGGUGUCCCCUACAGACCCCAUAGGUGUCCCAUAGGUGUCCCAUAGGAGUCCCAUAGAGACCCCAUUCAGGUCCCAUAGGUGUCCCAUAGGUGUCCCAUAGGGAUCCCACAUAGACCCCAUUCUGGUCCCAUAGGUGUCCCAUAGAGACCCCAUAGGGACUCCAUAGAGACCCAAUAGUGACCCCAUAGGUGUCCCAUAGAGACCCCAUAGGUGUCCCAUAGGUGUCCCAUCGGUGUCCCAUAGGGAUCCCAUAGAGACCCCAUAGGUGUCCCAUAGGU